GGUUAAGCGACUAAGCGUACACGGUGGAUGCCCUGGCAGUCAGAGGCGAUGAAGGACGUGCUAAUCUGCGAUAAGCGUCGGUGAGGUGAUAUGAACCGUUAUAACCGGCGAUUUCCGAAUGGGGAAACCCAGUGUGUUUCGACACACUAUCAUUAACUGAAUCCAUAGGUUAAUGAGGCGAACCGGGGGAACUGAAACAUCUAAGUACCCCGAGGAAAAGAAAUCAACCGAGAUUCCCCCAGUAGCGGCGAGCGAACGGGGAGGAGCCCAGAGCCUGAAUCAGUGUGUGUGUUAGUGGAAGCGUCUGGAAAGGCGCGCGAUACAGGGUGACAGCCCCGUACACAAAAAUGCACAUGCUGUGAGCUCGAUGAGUAGGGCGGGACACGUGGUAUCCUGUCUGAAUAUGGGGGGACCAUCCUCCAAGGCUAAAUACUCCUGACUGACCGAUAGUGAACCAGUACCGUGAGGGAAAGGCGAAAAGAACCCCGGCGAGGGGAGUGAAAAAGAACCUGAAACCGUGUACGUACAAGCAGUGGGAGCCUCUUAAUGGGGUGACUGCGUACCUUUUGUAUAAUGGGUCAGCGACUUAUAUUCUGUAGCAAGGUUAACCGAAUAGGGGAGCCGAAGGGAAACCGAGUCUUAACUGGGCGUUAAGUUGCAGGGUAUAGACCCGAAACCCGGUGAUCUAGCCAUGGGCAGGUUGAAGGUUGGGUAACACUAACUGGAGGACCGAACCGACUAAUGUUGAAAAAUUAGCGGAUGACUUGUGGCUGGGGGUGAAAGGCCAAUCAAACCGGGAGAUAGCUGGUUCUCCCCGAAAGCUAUUUAGGUAGCGCCUCGUGAAUUCAUCUCCGGGGGUAGAGCACUGUUUCGGCAAGGGGGUCAUCCCGACUUACCAACCCGAUGCAAACUGCGAAUACCGGAGA
rnacentral:rRNA from 1 species